ensembl:lncRNA
CAGAGCACACGCAGACUUUACAGGGAUCUUCAUGGUCUGUAAACGUGACUCCUUCAGGAACGACCUCGCCCCGAUAUUCACAGCGAGAGCAGUCGCGACAGCAGGAACCAAACGGAGGCUUCACUCCGUUCUGACACGACCGAGGACAUUUCUGCAAGUCGACACACGACACGUCGCCAUUCUGGGGGAAAACCAGCAAAAUACACCUUUAAUGAGAAUCAGAGAAUAUGUUAAAGGGGCAAUCACAGCAAUUCUUUUAUUACUACAGGAUAGCAUGGUGAGAUGUCACCCUAAACGCUGCCUUGCCCUACAGUGUGCUAAUGUUUAUGUAAGACCUGGGGAGUGCUC